rnacentral:rRNA from 1 species
AAAUUGAAGAGUUUGAUCAUGGCUCAGAUUGAACGCUGGCGGCAGGCCUAACACAUGCAAGUCGAACGGUAACAGGAAGCAGCUUGCUGCUUCGCUGACGAGUGGCGGACGGGUGAGUAAUGUCUGGGAAACUGCCUGAUGGAGGGGGAUAACUACUGGAAACGGUAGCUAAUACCGCAUAAUGUCGCAAGACCAAAGAGGGGGACCUUCGGGCCUCUUGCCAUCGGAUGUGCCCAGAUGGGAUUAGCUUGUUGGUGGGGUAACGGCUCACCAAGGCGACGAUCCCUAGCUGGUCUGAGAGGAUGACCAGCCACACUGGAACUGAGACACGGUCCAGACUCCUACGGGAGGCAGCAGUGGGGAAUAUUGCACAAUGGGCGCAAGCCUGAUGCAGCCAUGCCGCGUGUAUGAAGAAGGCCUUCGGGUUGUAAAGUACUUUCAGCGGGGAGGAAGGGAGUA